AGUGCUGGCAGAGCGAGUGCUUUCACGUGCUGCUGAGGAACGCUGAGCCAGCCGUUUCAGCUCUGCCACCGGCAGCAGAAAGUGGGUGGACCAUAUACACGCCGGCUUCUGCCCACUCCUGACUCCAGGAUGGCUGAAGAAGCCCCCAAGGACCCCUCAAAGCCCAUCGGUGCCUGGGAGGAGAUGAAACCUCCUCAACGGAAGAGUUGGCAAAAGAGCCCACAGCCGAAGCAGGAGCUGUGUGUGCCUCAGCCCUUCCAUGCCGAUUCACCAUCCCCUUGUAAUGCCUCCUGCUUUAUGAGGCCAGACUCGGAGGAGAAAGAGGCCCUG